rnacentral:rRNA from 1 species
UAACGGCGAGUGAAGCGGCAAAAGCUCAAAUUUUAAAUCUGACGCCCACAAGCGUUCGAGUUGUACUUUGGAGAGGCAUCUUCGUAAGGGGUCCAGCCUAUGUUCCUUGGAACAGGGCGUCAUAGAGGGUGAGAAUCCCGUUCAUGGCUGGAUACUCCUUGUAUUAUGUAGUGUCUUCAACGAGUCGAGUUGUUUGGGAAUGCAGCUCAAAAUGGGUGGUAAAUUUCAUCUAAAGCUAAAUAUUGGCGAGAGACCGAUAGCGCACAAGUAGAGUGAUCGAAAGAUGAAAAGCACUUUGAAAAUAGAGUCAAACAGUACGUGAAAUUGUUGAAAGGGAAGCGCUUGAGAUCAGAGUCAGUCGAUUAUAAACAACUUUCCUUCUGGAUGGUGCACUUAUUAUUGAUUGGGCCAGCAUCAGUUGGGACGGCAGGAUAAAGGCCAUGGGAAUGUGACUCCAUUUCGGAGUGUUAUAGCCCCUGGUGCCAUGCUGUCUGCCCUGACUGUGGACCGCGCUUCGGCUUGGAUGCUGGCUUAAUGGUCUUCAGCGGCCCGUCUUGAAACACGGACCAAGGAGUCUAACGUCUAUGCAAGUGUUUGGGCUCAAAACCCUCACGCGUAAUGAAAGUGAACGGAGGUGGGAACCCUGCAAGGGGUGCACCAUCGACCGAUCCUGAUGUCUU